AAGGCGUUCAGAUUCUGGGGUCUGGAGAGGUCUGACGUCCUGGGGGGUCUGGGGUGGGUCCACAGGAGGGUUCCGGGUGGUGAAAAUGGCUGAAGAAUUACACUGCAUACACAACACACGUUACAGUAACACCUUACUGAUAAAAUAUUUUUCUCGAAAUAUCUCCAGAACCCUACAUUCUACAUACUCGAGUCAUGUACCAUUCUACUCGUCUGCUAUAGGGAACAUUUUAUAUACUGUACCAUGUUGCCUUUUGAGGCAUCUGACUUGCAAACCUUGAAAGUCUCAAUUCCAUUGCAGGGAGUCUCAAAACCAUACUCAGGAGUCCUAAUUCCAAAUCAGGAGUAAAUUCCACAUCCUGGAUUCCGAAUUCCUAUGCCAUGGAAUUGAGACUUGACCGUCACGAACAUGUCUUUGUUGCCGGACCGGAAUAUGCUGCAGGGUCCCGCAGUGAUUCGUCCGCUAUAUGAGUUGGUCCUGUGGGCGGCACAGGAGCAUGUGUGGUGCCACGACUGCGGAGCAACUUCGCAAGCGCCGCGAUUCCCUCCCGGCCCCCGCACUAAACACACACCCGCAUGCAGCGCACCCACGUAGUGUCCUGGCGGGGGAUUGCCUGGCACAUCGGGUCUUGAUCUGAAGGGCCCGAAGAGGAAGAAUCCCACGGUUUCCGGAUGCCAGGAGAUUGGCCGACCCUCGCAGGACGGGUUACAUUGCGAUGCCCCUAAAAUUGGCUUAAAAUUGUAUUGGCACAGAUAAGGUUCCCUGGGCCAACCGCAAUGAGUUACAACAUUGGGGGGAGGACGGAGGGCGGAAUACUAACCAAGCAAAAGCGCAAGGGCCCUUCCAGACAAUGGGCAACGAGGGACAAUGGGUGGCCGGCGCCGCCGCCGCGGCACUGGAGGAAGGACGCAGUAACAGGCAGUAACCACAGGUAGACGCACGAUUGGUCGUGCGGGACAAACGCCAUCCUGGCCCUUUGAAGUGAGGGGAUUAGGCCACGGUAGAAAGGAGGAAACAAGCGCGAGGGUGCAGGUAAGUGCACGAUUGGCUGCGCGGUAUGACAUCACCCUGGGCCUUUGAAGUUAAGAGAAUAAAAAGGGGGGCCCCGGGUGAUUUUCGGUCUCUUGGCUUCGACCUCCGGGUGGUGAAGACCCUCUCCCUGCCAUCCUGCCUCUUCGAGCCGCUCACAGCAUCCGUGUGAUGCCAGCAUGUGCUGCUGCGAGACAGUGACAGGUCAAGUCGUCCCUCAUCCUCCCUCCGACUCUCAGUGUCCGUGGGACGCCGCGAGUCCAGCUUCGAGGUCGCUAGGUGCAUCCAAGCCCAGCAAAUUCUGCAGUGGGACAGGGCGCUGGUUAGGUGUGCCAUGUCCCGUAUGGAGCCGGAGCCGUCAGAUUGAGCGGAGCCCCUGUCGGCAUGCGCGUCGACCCGGGGUGGUGACGGCCGGGGUGACGGGGACGCACGACGGACGGACGAGCAGCGGCGGCCAAGAUCGUCGUCUCGUUCCCGGGGCGGCCGUGUUACCUGCUACAAUUGCGGCCUGCCAGGGCACGUGUCAUUGGGCUGCCGCGUAUCACGACGGCGCCACCCGGCAUCACCGCCAUCCUACGCUCCCAUGCACCCUAAGGCGAGUCGCGACACACUCCACACCCGACCCCUGGCCUCACCUCAUCCAUCUAGGCGGUUCGGUUCGCGUCCCGGUCGCACGGGGGUGAGGGGGAGCCCUACGCGUAAUUGUAGCGUUCGUCAGUUCUGACCGGAUCAGUGGUCGGAGCUGGCCCAUCGAGUGGUGGUCGCAGCCGCGGGUUCAUCUGCCGUGCUGGGGUUUAUCAAGGGUGUGGAAAUAAGGAUGCUGGUUGACACGGGUGCAUCGGCAACUAUCAUUUCGGAAUUGAUUUACAAUAUUUUGCCCUCUAAAUGUCGGGUUCUAGACCCUGUUGAUGCACCGUGUUUCGCCGCCAAUGAAUGGCGACUCAUUGGGCAUUAUCGGUUGGAUAACGGUCGAGGUGCGCAUCGCUGACGUUAAAUUGUCUGGACACAUCCUGGUCUCCACAUCCUUGGCUGUUCCAUGUUUGCUUGGAACCGAUUUCCUUGAUAGGAUGCCCGUGAAAAUCUGCAUUGAUCGUGGCUGUUGGGAAUUACCUUCCGGCCAUUGUAUAGCAUUUUUACCUUCUCCCACUCAUUUGUGUGCGGCCAACGCUACGGUGCAGGCGCUUGUGCGGCGAACGGUGAGCAUCCCUCCCGGCGCGCAGAUGUUGGUUCCCUUCCGCUUGCGGAAGCCGCUCGAUUUAGGGGCUACGGAGAACGGUAUUGUCUUGGGGCCAUCCAACAAGGUCAGUCGCGGGCUGACGUUGGUGGCAGCCCAAAUGUUGGUAUCCAACGACCAGGAACCCUUUAUUCAGGUUCUUAAUGCUGGGUGGGAUACCACGGUCAUCCAGGAGGGUACGGUGUUGGCUCAUGCGUCGCCGGCACGUCCGGAUGGGGGCAUCGUCGGAAAUGUGGGUGCUGAGCCUCACGCACUACAAUCCUGUGAUGAAGAUGACAGUUGGAUUGACAAAUUGUGCGCUGAAUGUGAUACCUUGUCCGCGGAUCAGAUGGGGAAGUUGCAGAUGCUCUUGAGUGAAUUUUCGGAUAUUUUCAGCAAAGGUAAAUUCGAUAUUGGGUGCACGUCGCUUCUGAGUCACCACAUUGAUACGGGCGACGCGGCCUCUAUCUGACAGAAUCCCUACCGGCUGAGCCCGGCAGAGAAGGAACAUGUUCGACUGGCGGUUGAUGAGAUGUUGGCCGCAGACAUCAUCUCACCAUCCACCAGUCCCUGGGGAGCUCCGAUUGUGCUUGUGAAAAAGCACGACGGUAGCUUAAGAUUUUGCGUCGACUUUAGGAAGCUUAAUAAGGUCUCUGUUGCGGAUGCGUAUCCCAAAUCGCAUGGACGAUUCACUGGAUUGGUUGGCGGGGGCACGCUUCUUCCCCACCCUUGAUCUCUAAUCUGGGUUCUGGCAGUUGCUGCUUGACGAUGUCUUGAGACCUAAGACGGCCUUUUGCAAGCUCCAGGGAUUGUUCUAAUUUAACCGGCUUCCCAUGGGGCUCCAUUCCACGCCGGCCACAUUCCAACGGUGAUGGCAUUGGUCCUGGCGGGUCUCCAAUGGGACUCGUAUCUAAUAUACCUCGCCGAUGUGAUCGUCUUCAGCCACACUUUUUAUGACCAUUUGAGUCGUUUGCUUGCUUUCUCAAAUGCGUGCGGCUAACCUUAAAUUCAAGCCUCAGAAAUGUCAUCUUCUCUGGAAGUCGGUCCGAUAUCUUGGCCGCAUUGUUGACGAAGCGGGUAUUGCGACCAACCCGGAAAAACUGCGUGUGUUCGUACCUGGCCCACCCCCACCUCAGUGACUGAGGUGCACAGUUUUAUCGGCUUUGCAUCUUACUAUUGCCGCUUUGUCGCCGGGUUCGCGUCAAUUGCAAAACCUCUCCAUGCGUUAACGGCUAAGGGUCAUACGUUUCAUUGGGGAGAGGAGGAGGCUGCAUUUAAUGCCAUCCGCGAGGGGUUGGUGAACACCUCUCCCCUGCGCUAUCCGGAUUUUGCAUUGCCGUUCGUCCUCAAUACGGACGCUAGCAAUACCGGCAUUGGUGCCAUUUUGUCGCAGGUUGUUGACGGGGUGGAGAGGGUUGUUGCGUACAGCAGUAGAGUGCUGUGUCAAGCCGAACAGGAUUACUGCGUUAGGCGCCGUGAAUUGCUAGCAAUUGUGGUUUUCGUGCAGCAGUAUCGGCCCUACUUGUAUGGUAGACGAUUUGAGGUGUGCUCCGAUCAUGCAGCGCUCCAAUAUGCGCUGCGUGUGGAUCAGCUGUCAGGCCAGUUAUCACGCUGGCUGGAGAUCCUGCAGGAUUUCUCAUUCCAUGUUACGUACCGCAAGGGUUAUCGUCAUGCGAACACCGAUGCCCUACCGCGGUUGCCAGCGACCGGAGGUUGUGAAUGUUUUUCGGGUUCCGGGUGAUGUAAACCAACUGAUAUGACCUCGCCCCCUCCUCUCGCCGCAUCUGCCGAUGCACGGACAGGUAGCACGGGUGCCAGUCCGGACGCACGGGAUGCAGUCAUCGGAUUACGUGGAAUGGGGACGCCUUCAGGUGAAGACGCUUCGCUACUUAAAUUGCGACGUCGUGUGAGAGAAGCUAACAGGGACAAUGAUCGAUGGGGCGUUGCCUCGGUAGUCCUAUGGAGCAGCUUGCUCAUGUAUUGGAAAGGGGGGCCUCGCCGUUACACUAUAGUUGUCCCCACCGCCCUGCGAGGCGAGGUUGUUUGGGCUGUGCAUGAGCGGCUCUUGCACCUGGGUGUGCAGAAAACGCUGACCACGCUGAAACGGGAUUUCUAUUGGCUGUCCAUGUCCGCGGACGUGGACGAUUUGCUCAGGGGGUGCGUGCAGUGUACCCGGGGGAAACCACCGUCGAAACCCUGCCGACUCCCCUUGCAGUCGAUUCAGGUAUCACGUGUCAAUGAACUUGUUGCUAUGGGCAUACUUGGCCCAUUUCCCACUACUGCUCGGGGGAACAAAUACCUGCUUUUGGAGGUUGAGUAUUUUUCUCGAUGGCCUGUCGCUUGGCCCUAAUCAAUCAGCUGUGACCAUUACAGAGGCAUUCCUCAAUGGCUAUGUUAUGGACAAAGGUGCUCCGGAACGCCUUUUGACCGAUCACGGCAAUAAUUUUUCUUCUAAAUUGUUGAUGUCUGCGCUUUAUUGGGUACAAGGAAGGUGUGCACGUCGCCAUACCACCCACAGACGGAUGGCAUGGUCGAACGGCUACAUAGGAUUCUGACCUCAAUGCUGAGCCACCAGGUGCCGCACGACUGACGUCCCCUGCACGGCCGCGCAUGCCGGCAUCGCAGGUCCCAAGUGCGGAGGAUCCGUCGACCCGGCCUACUGCUCUCCGUGAGGAGCCGGGUUCGGCGGAACAUUUGCACAUUCCCCCCGGAUCCUCCAGGGUGAGCGAGCCCAUCACGAACUCGCUCAAAGACUCGGUAUUCGUGAUCUCCUUGCACACACGCUCCCACGCUAUCGGUUGCUUGUCGCGUUCGCUGACUCGUGGCAGUCAUUGGCUGAGCCUGGCCGCCAUCAAGCUCGCAAGCGUUGUUACAUGGCGAAGGUGGGAGGUGUGAUGGUAUUGGGGGAUCCUGUGGUUUUCGCGUUUCCUUAUUUUAUUGUUGCUGUGUUGUUAUGGGUUCAUUGGUUUCCACCCUUCUCCCUGUUGGUUUGUACAUUUGUGUAGUGACUGUACUUGUCACUGUGUGGUGCCGGGACUUGCGAAGUCACUGCCGGUAAUGUGGUCAUUGUGGACAGCCCGGUUUGCGAGCUGCAGUACCAGCACUAGCGGUGGUUGGGUGAGCGCUGGUUAGUGCGGAGGCACCACGAGCAGUGUGCGGUGCCGGCUCCCAGUGAGGGA